rnacentral:rRNA from 1 species
UAUUAUAGUUAAAGUAAAGGUGUACCAGAGUAUUAAUAGUUAUUUUCUUUAAAUUCAAAGAAUUUGGCGGUAUUUUAGUCCUUUUAGAGGAACCUGUUUUGUAAACGAUAAACCACGAGAAUCUUACCUGUUUUGUGUUUGUAUACCGUCAUUAUCAGACAAUUUUAAGAGAAUUAAUUGUUAGAAGUAGUAUGAAUUAAAGAAAUUAGAUCAAGGUGCAGCUUAUAAACAGGAGAAAAUGGGUUACAAUAAGAAUAAUUUACAAUGGAAUUCUCUCUGAAAUUGAGGGAGUGAAGGCGGAUUUAAUUGUAAUUGUGUUUAAUUAAAAAAUUUGAUAUAGGCUCUAAAAUAU